CCUAAUCACUAGUGCGCUGCCUUACGUCAACAACGUCCCUCACCUCGGCAAUAUCAUCGGCUGUGUGUUGAGUGCCGAUGUGUUUGCUCGGUAUUGUAGGCUCAGAGGCUACAAUGCCAUAUACAUAUGCGGAACGGAUGAGUACGGGACAGCCACUGAGACGAAA